UUAUCAAAUCCAGGAAUGAGGUGCUGAGGAAAAGAAGAAGUCUGUGAGGGAGUUCACAUAUAAGCAUAUAUAAGCUGAGGAAACCAGAGCUUAAGCAAUGCACAAAACCAGAACCGUUCCAGUUAGAGAGUCUAGCUAGGCACGAACAGGAAAUGCGGAAAGAAAUGGAUGAAAGGAUUAGAACUCAGAGAGAAAAGUCAAAGAAGAGUCUUCAGAGCACAACCAGUGAUUAAAGAGUGAGUGACUGUUGCUGUCUUUUAAUCUACAGUUUCGAAGAACUCGCAAAAUGAUUUGUGUGAAUUCUCACCUGACUCAGGGAUCUCAUUACUGUUCCGGAGUAAGUAAGAAGGCCUCUUACAGAAAUUCAAGAGUUUAAUCACCAUGUGGACCAUCGGGCUAUAGAAAGGGUAGACUUUGACCAUAAAGUAAGCUUAUCUAACUCAAUCAGCAAAUCAAAAGGAACUUUUUGAUUUUUCAACUAACUUGUUCUAUCAUCUUUGGUUCCAGAUCAAAGAGAAAGAGAUGAUGUACAAGAGAUACCGCGAAGAGACUGAAGCCGCAAAAAUGGUAGAGGAAGAGAGAGCUCUGAAACAACUGAGAAGGACAAUGGUUCCUCACGCCAGACCAGUGCCAAACUUCAACAACCCAUUCUUACCUUAGAAGUCGAACAAGGAGACGACGAAACCAAAGUCACCAAAGCUUAUGAGUGAUUCGAAGAGUCGGCAGGAGAACAAUGAUGAUGGCUUCUCACAUGAGGUAGCUGUUAAAACGUA